ACCAGCCCAGCCUGUCCUCAGGAUGCCAGGGCCCUGCUGCCACUUGUGUCUUCUCCACACCUCCAAGGGGAGCGCCCUUCCUGCCCAGGAUGGGCCCCGCAGGGGAUUCCCACGGGAAAGGGGAACAAAAGUGCUGCUUGGCCUCGGGUCCUACUGUCUGGACCAGAGACAGAGGGGUGUGCUCUCUGAGACUUCCCACUGCGCCCCUAGAGCACUCCCUGCCAAUCAGUCUCCUCGUGAUUGACAUGGAGGGGUGACCACCCAUGCUACAGGCCUCACAGGGUGGUCAUGAGUUCAGGACAGAACAGGACAGUGCAGAGCUCCCUGCCCUGUGCCACCUGGAGGGCUGAGGGUGAGAACAAGGAUGACAGGAAUGACACUGAGUCCUCAGGAGAACCUGUGAGCUCGGUGGAGGUCUCCCACUUUCCAAAGGAGGGAACGGGUCAAGGAGGCCAGGCCCAGGCCUAAGGUCACACACAGCGAGUGAGCGUUGUAGCUGGGAGUCGUCCAGAAUCAGAGCAUGCUGGAGUCGGGGUGGCACUGGUACCAGCUGACUUGGGUCAGAUGUCCAGGGUGUGUGGUCAGGGGUGAUGGGGGAAAUGGGGUGAGGUGAGCAUGACCUCAAUGACCCUGUCCUCCACCCUGGUGGAAGCAGCCCUCCAGGUUUGCCACUCUGGUGCUCUAUGUCCCUGGAUCCAAGCAGAGGUUGCACAAGAAGGUGAGUGAGCCUGUCUGGGGGUGAUUAGGGUCAGAGGAGGGGGUUCUGUCCUCUCAGCUGGAGGCCUCCAAGUCAAGAGAGGGAGGCCUUUCUCCUCCAGCCCCACCUCCUGUGCCCACAGAACCUGAAACCCUCCCUUAGAAGUGACCAAGAGGAGGGCCUGGGGGAGGUGCCUGCAGGUUGGACAUGGGGGUGGGUCUGGCCCAGGACCGCUGACCCAGUGAUUUGCCCAAAGGAGGUCCUGGGAGCUGAUCAAGAGGAGUUCCUGGAGAGUGAGGGAAGAGGCAAUUGAGUGGAGGCCCUAGGGAACCUGGGCCGCUCCACAUGGGAACCCUGGGGGGGCCAGGAGGCUGAGGGGGGGAGGCUUUCAGGAGAGGGCCUGUGCGGCACCUGAGAGCAGUGGCUCAUCCCACCCUCACCCUGUUUGCCCAGUGUGUUCCCUUCCUGGGAAAAUACCUGAAAGAUCUCAAGGUGAUGGACACCAGAAUGGAGGAUGAUCUGGAGGUACAGAGAGUUUUGGAGGAGAUAGUGGUUCUGCAGGAGGCUGCCCAGAAAUACAAAAUAGAGCCUGAGGAGCAAUUCCGGGCCUGGUUCUGGGCCCUGAAACGGCUCAGUGAAAAUGAGAGUUACAUCUGGUCCUGCCAGCUGGAGCCACAGUCCUAGGUGGCCAGGGAAAUACUCACCAAAGGAAGUCAAUGAAUGAUUGACUGCAGAUCUGAAAAUUAUUCUCAACAUAAUCUCUUUUGUUUAGACUAAGAAAUAACUAUACAAAUAUUUAUAUUUAUCCUUUCAGAUAUCCUCAUAAUACAUGUAAAUAUACUCUUACCCAUAGUUAUAAGUCUUUUUUGUUAUG